ensembl:lncRNA
AGCGCAAUGUGUGACUGUAGGUGAGGGCUGUGUGACUGUAGGUGAGGGCUGUGUGACUGUAGGUGUGUGACUAGGUGAGGGCUGUGUGACUGUAGGUGAGGGCUGUGUGACUGUAGGUGUGUGACUAGGUGAGGGCUGUGUGACUGUAGGUGAGGGCUGUGUGACUGUAGGUGUGUGACUAGGUGAGAGCUGUGUGACUGUAGGUGAGAGCUGUGUGACUGUAGGUGAGAGCUGUGUGACUGUAGGUGAGAGCUGUGUGACUGUAGGUGAGGGCUGUGUGAUUAUAUGGUGUGUGACUGUAGGUGAGGGCUGUGUGACUGUAGGUGAGGACUGUGUGACUAGGUGAGAGCUGUGUGACUGUGUGAGGUGUGACUGUGUAGUGUGACUGUAUAGUGUGACUGUGUAGUGUGACUGUGAGGUGUGACUGUGUGAGGUGUGACUGUGUGAGGUUUGACGGUGUGACUGUGGUGUGACUGUGUAGUGUGACUGUGUGACUGUGUGAGGUGUGACUGUGUAAUGUGACUGUGUAAUGUGACUGUGUGAGGUGUGACAGUAGUGUGACUGUGUGACUGUGUAGUGUGACUGUGUAGUGUGACUGUGUAGUGUGACUGUGUGAGGUGUGACUGUGUGAGGUGUGACUGUGUAGUGUGACUGUGUAGUGUGACUGUGUUGUGGUGUGACUGUGUAGUGUGACUGUAGUGUGACUGUGUGAGGUGUGACUGUGUAGUGUGACUGUACAGUCCAGGAUAUAGCCACUAGCUCUGGUCCAGGGCAUUAGUGCUGCUCUCUAACACUGAGCCUCCUGAACAGGCUGCACUAACACCCUGGACCAGAGCUAGUGGGCCUCGUGACAGACA